AUGAACUCGGUGGCGGCGAGCGCGACGAGGCCGAGCAUAGCGAAGCGGCCGUUCCAGAGCUCUGCGUCGGCGCUCCAGAUUCCGCUCGACUUGCUCUCGACAGUCUGGCCCUGCAGUAGCGGCACCAACGAUGCCGCGGAGAACACCCCCGCGAUGCGCUCCGGCGCCGGGCCGCUGAAGGCGAGCGUGUCCCAGACCGAGGGGUUCGCCUUCUUGGUCAUGGGCUUGGGUGCCGCCGGGAUCGGGGUCGGGCUCGUGCUCGGGGAGGAGGAGGUCGAUGCGCUCGUCGUCUCCUUGGUUGAGUCCAUGCCAGGCUGCACAUACACAAACAAUCUCACGUUGAGGUCGAGUCUCCAACUAGCCAACAUGCGAUGCAGUCAAGUGUGUGACGUGAAAGCUCACCUCAGACUGGGCCCUGACGACGAGGGUCCUCCGGCGCGGGCCCGCCACUGGAGAGCGGGCGGCGGACCGGCCGACGACGGCGAAGGAACUCAAAGCCACCAUGGUCGCCAUUACUCAAGGCACGAAGAGAACUGA
rnacentral:rRNA from 1 species